rnacentral:rRNA from 1 species
GCAUAACGCGAAGAACCUUACCAAGUCUUGACAUACCUCGCAAGGCCCUAGAGAUAGGGAGAUAGUUAUGGAGGAUACAGGUGGUGCAUGGUUGUCGUCAGCUCGUGUCGUGAGAUGUUGGGUUAAGUCCCGCAACGAGCGCAACCCCUGUCUUUAGUUGCCAGCAUUUCGGAUGGGCACUCUAGUGGGACUGCCUAUGAAAGUAGGAGGAAGGCGGGGAGUGACGUCUAGUCAGCAUGGUCCUUACGGCCUGGGCGACACACGUGCUACAAUGGCCGGUACAACGCGCUGCCACCUCGCGAGAGGGAGCUAAUCGUUAAAGCCGGUCCCAGUUCGGAUUGCAGUCUGCAGCUCGACUGCAUGAAGUUGGAAUCGCUAGUAAUCGCGGAUCAGCCAUGCCGCGGUGAAUACGUUCCCGGGUCUUGUACACACCG